UGGGGGAUAUUGCACAAUGGGCGAAAGCCUGAUGCAGCGACGCCGCGUGGGGGAUGAAGGCUUUCGGGUUGUAAACCUCUUUCGCUAUCGAACAAGGCCCGCUUAGGGUGGGUUGAGGGUAGGUGGAGAAGAAGCGCCGGCUAACUACGUGCCAGCAGCCGCGGUAAUACGUAGGGCGCGAGCGUUGUCCGGAAUUAUUGGGCGUAAAGGGCUUGUAGGCGGCUUGUUGCGCCUGCUGUGAAAACGCGGGGCUUAACUUCGAGCGUGCAGUGGGUACGGGCAGGCUUGAGUGUGGUAGGGGUGACUGGAAUUCCAGGUGUAGCGGUGGAAUGCGCAGAUAUCUGGAGGAACACAGAUGGCGAAGGCAGGUCACUGGGCCAUUACUGACGCUGAGGAGCGAAAGCAUGGGUAGCGAACAGG
rnacentral:rRNA from 1 species